ensembl:snRNA U6 U6 spliceosomal RNA
GUGCUUGCUUCGGAAGCACAUAUACUAAAAUUGGAAUGAGACAGAGAAGAUUAGCAUGGCCCCUGUGUAAGGAUGACACACAAAUUCGCGGAGCCUUUUUUUUUUUU